rnacentral:rRNA from 1 species
GACGAACGCUGGCGGCGUGCUUAACACAUGCAAGUCGAACGGAAAGGCCCUGCUUUUGUGGGGUGCUCGAGUGGCGAACGGGUGAGUAACACGUGAGUAACCUGCCCUUGACUUUGGGAUAACUUCAGGAAACUGGGGCUAAUACCGGAUAGGAGCUCCUGCUGCAUGGUGGGGGUUGGAAAGUUUCGGCGGUUGGGGAUGGACUCGCGGCUUAUCAGCUUGUUGGUGGGGUAGUGGCUACCAAGGCUUUGACGGGUAGCCGGCCUGAGAGGGUGGCCGGCCACAUUGGGACUGAGAUACGGCCCAGACUCCUACGGGAGGCAGCAGUGGGGAAUAUUGCACAAUGGGCGGAAGCCUGAUGCAGCAACGCCGCGUGCGGGAUGACGGCCUUCGGGUUGUAAACCGCUUUCGCCUGUGACGAGGCGUGAGUGACGGUAAUGGGUAAAGAAGCCCCGGCUAACUACGUG